UACGGGGGGGGCAAGCGUUGUUCGGAAUUACUGGGCGUAAAGGGCUCGUAGGCGGCCAACUAAGUCAUACGUGAAAUCCCUCGGCUUAACCGGGGAACUGCGUCUGAUACUGGAUGGCUUGAGAUUGGGAGAGGGAUGCGGAAUUCCAGGUGUAGCGGUGAAAUGCGUAGAUAUCUGGAGGAACACCGGUGGCGAAGGCGGCAUCCUGGACCAACACUGACGCUGAGGAGCGAAAGCCAGGGGGAGCAAACGGG
rnacentral:rRNA from 1 species